rnacentral:rRNA from 1 species
GGGGAAUAUUGCGCAAUGGGGGCAACCCUGACGCAGCAACGCCGCGUGAAGGAUGAAGGUCUUCGGAUUGUAAACUUCUUUGAUUGGGGAAGAAAAUGACGGUACCCAAGGAACAAGCCACGGCUAACUACGUGCCAGCAGCCGCGGUAAUACGUAGGUGGCAAGCGUUGUCCGGAAUUACUGGGUGUAAAGGGCGUGUAGGCGGGAGAGCAAGUCAGAUGUGAAAUCCCAGGGCUUAACUCUGGAGCUGCAUCUGAAACUGUUCUUCUUGAGUGUCGGAGAGGAAAGUGGAAUUCCCAGUGUAGCGGUGAAAUGCGUAGAGAUUGGGAGGAACACCAGUGGCGAAGGCGGCUUUCUGGACGAUAACUGACGCUGAGGCGCGAAAGCGUGGGGAGCAAAC